GAUGAACGCGGCGGCGUGCUUAACACAUGCAAGUCGAACGAUGAAGCCCAGCUUGCUGGGCGGAUUAGUGGCGAACGGGUGAGUAACACGUGAGUAACCUGCCCUUGACUCUGGGAUAAGCCCGGGAAACUGGGUCUAAUACCGGAUAGGAGCGCCUGUCGCAUGACGGGUGCUGGAAAGAUCUUUCGGUCAUGGAUGGACUCGCGGCCUAUCAGCUUGUUGGUGAGGUAACGGCUCACCAAGGCGACGACGGGUAGCCGGCCUGAGAGGGUGACCGGCCACACUGGGACUGAGACACGGCCCAGACUCCUACGGGAGGCAGCAGUGGGGAAUAUUGCACAAUGGGCGAAAGCCUGAUGCAGCGACGCCGCGUGAGGGAUGACGGCCUUCGGGUUGUAAACCUCUUUCAGUAGGGAAGAAAGCGAAAGUGACGUACCUGCAGAA
rnacentral:rRNA from 1 species